AGCGAACGCUGGCGGCAGGCCUAACACAUGCAAGUCGAACGAACCUUUCGGGGUUAGUGGCGGACGGGUGAGUAACACGUGGGAACGUGCCUUUAGGUUCGGAAUAACUCAGGGAAACUUGUGCUAAUACCGAAUGUGCCCUUCGGGGGAAAGAUUUAUCGCCUUUAGAGCGGCCCGCGUCUGAUUAGCUAGUUGGUUGAGGUAAUGGCGCACCAAGGCGACGAUCAGUAGCUGGUCUGAGAGGAUGAUCAGCCACAUUGGGACUGAGACACGGCCCAAACUCCUACGGGAGGCAGCAGUGGGGAAUCUUGCGCAAUGGGCGAAAGCCUGACGCAGCCAUGCCGCGUGAAUGAUGAAGGUCUUAGGAUUGUAAAAUUCUUUCACCGGGGACGAUAAUGACGGUACCCGGAGAAGAAGCCCCGGCUAACUUCGUG
rnacentral:rRNA from 1 species